UGGGGUGUGGCUCAGUGGUAGAGCGCUUGCCUAGCCUGUGCAAGGCCUUGGAUUCCAUUUCCAUCACUUCAA
rfam:Fukomys damarensis contig140554, whole genome shotgun sequence.